GCCAGCAGGCAUAUCACCCUGCAGCCCAAGACUGGUUGCCCACUGAAGCUAAGCAGGGUUGAGCCUGGUCAGUACCUGGAUGGGAGACCUCCUGGGAAAACUAGGUUGCUGCUGGAA
rnacentral:rRNA from 1 species